UACGAAGGGGGCUAGCGUUGUUCGGAAUCACUGGGCGUAAAGCGCACGUAGGCGGAUUCUUAAGUCAGGGGUGAAAUUCCCGAGGCUCAACCUCGGAACCGCCUUUUGAUACUGGGGAUCUCGAGUCCGGGGAGAGGUGAGUGGAAUUGCGAGUGUAGAGGUGAAAUUGUUAGAUUAUUCGCAAAGAACACCAGUGGCGAAGGCGGCUCACUGGCCCGGAACUGACGCUGAGGUGCGAAAGCGUGGGGAGCAAACAGGG
rnacentral:rRNA from 1 species